rnacentral:tRNA from 1 species
AUCAUGUUGGCAGAUUAGUGUAUUGAAUUUAGAAUUCAAAUAAGAAAUGAAAAUUUCAUAUGAUA